AGUGAACGCUGGCGGUAGGCCUAACACAUGCAAGUCGAACGGCAGCACCGUAAGAGCUUGCUCUUACGGGUGGCGAGUGGCGGACGGGUGAGGAAUACAUCGGAAUCUACUUUUUCGUGGGGGAUAACGUAGGGAAACUUACGCUAAUACCGCAUACGAUCUACGGGUGAAAGCAGGGGAUCUUCGGACCUUGCGCGAUUGAAUGAGCCGAUGUCGGAUUAGGUAGUUGGCGGGGUAAAGGCCCACCAAGGCGACGAUCCGUAGCUGGUCUGAGAGGAUGGUCAGCCACACUGGAAGUGAGACACGGCCCAGACUCCUACGGGAGGCAGCAGUGGGGAAUAUUGGACAAUGGGCGCAAGCCUGAUCCAGCCAUACCGCGUGGGUGAAGAAGGCCUUCGGGUUGUAAAGCCCUUUUGUUGGGAAAGAAAAGCAGCAGGUUAGUACCGCGCUGUUCUGACGGUACCCAAAGAAUAAGCACCGGCUAACUUCGUG
rnacentral:rRNA from 1 species